rnacentral:rRNA from 1 species
UGGGGAAUAUUGGACAAUGGGCGAAAGCCUGAUCCAGCCAUGCCGCGUGUGUGAAGAAGGUCUUCGGAUUGUAAAGCACUUUAAGUUGGGAGGAAGGGCAGUAAGCGAAUACCUUGCUGUUUUGACGUUACCGACAGAAUAAGCACCGGCUAACUCUGUGCCAGCAGCCGCGGUAAUACAGAGGGUGCAAGCGUUAAUCGGAAUUACUGGGCGUAAAGCGCGCGUAGGUGGUUCGUUAAGUUGAAUGUGAAAGCCCCGGGCUCAACCUGGGAACUGCAACCAAAACUGGCGAGCUAGAGUAGGGCAGAGGGUGGUGGAAUUUCCUGUGUAGCGGUGAAAUGCGUAGAUAUAGGAAGGAACACAAGUGGCGAAGGCGACCACCUGGGCUCAUACUGACACUGAGGUGCGAAAGCGUGGGGAGCAAACAGG